CACGCCAGCCCUUGGCUCAUUGAGGAGCUCACCACAGCUGAGCUCACCCUGGAUGCAGCCUCAUCAUCUGUCCUUCGUAAAAUGAAGGAGCCACCUCGGAUCCAGGCGAGGCCUCAGGGGGUAACAGAGGCUGAGGCGUCCAGGAGAGAGAAAAGAGCCCGAAGGUGUCGUCCAGCGGGGUUUUGAGCCCUGGAAAAGGGGAGGCAGAGUCGAGGGGCAACAUCCAUUGGGAUACAGGUUUAAUUAGAGUGGUUUGUCUGGAAAAUUUGGCUUUCUGCGAUAAAAGACCUCUCUAAUGAGAGAGACCAUAAUCAUGAUUGAAAAAACCUCCUGAACCGAAGUGGAUGCUGAUCUGUGAGUUACCAUACGAGUGUUCCUAUGCCAGCGUGUUCAUGCAUAUAAAUCUGUUUACUGAACAUUUUAACCUGCUCUAAACACAGCCUGGAGUUAUCUUAUCUGUCCUGCUGAGGAAAACAAGGAGAUGCAUCCAAACACCCAAACACUCCUGGAUAAGGAGUUCCUUAUCAGCCCUGCUUCCCCCACUGGCCCAGUUAAACCCUCAUCCACUCAUUCAUUUCCCAGCUGUGGCAUUUUAGGAGCACCAACCAACAUUUCCUAUCAGCAUGGGUUUGAUCUUGGGAAGCUGCAAUUCCCGAUGGUUUGUUUGCUUUCUGCAUCCUGCAAAUGCAUCCAUCCCUUCAGCUUUGCCACACCUUUCCCACCUCCAUUAAUUAGCACCUCUUUUCCUACAUUUCUCUCCUGGGUAACUCAUUCUAAACUUCAGGAGAGAAAAGAAAAUAAAAAGAGAAAUUAUCCAAAAGCUGGCAGCAUUUUUGCUUUUUAUAUGUUCCCUCAAGGAAGGAAAUAAAAGGGAUAAGGUUCCAGGACACCCCUGGUUCUGAGCUCCCUGCUCCAAGCCUCAGUUGUGGGAAAGCUCCUGAAAUUCCCUGACCUGUGGGAG